UACAGAGGGUGCGAGCGUUAAUCGGAAUUACUGGGCGUAAAGCGCACGUAGUCGGCUUUGCAAGUCGGGUGUGAAAUCCCCGGGCUCAACCUGGGAACUGCAUCCGAGACUGCAUUGCUAGAGUAUGGGAGAGGGAAGCGGAAUUUCUGGUGUAGCAGUGAAAUGCGUAGAUAUCAGAAGGAACAUCAGUGGCGAAGGCGGCUUCCUGGACCAAUACUGACGAUCAGG
rnacentral:rRNA from 1 species